rnacentral:misc_RNA from 1 species
UCCGGUUUAACACCGGCGGUCUCCUUAGAGUGCCCAACUAAAUGAUGGCAACUAAGGACAAGGGUUGCGCUCGUUAAGGGACUUAACCCGACAUCUCACGAUACGAGCUGACGACAGCCAUGCAGCACCUGUCUCUCGGCCUCCGAAGAGGAAGCCCUAUCUCUAGGGUUGUCCGAGGAUGUCAAAUCCAGGUAAGGUUCUUCGCGUUGCGUCGAAUUAAACCACAUGCUCCACCGCUUGUGCGGGCCCCCGUCAAUUCCUUUGAGUUUUAACCUUGCGGCCGUACUUCCCAGGCGGGGUACUUAAUGCGUUAGCGUCGGCACUGCAGGGGUCAAUUCCCGCAACACCUAGUACCCAUCGUUUACGGCGUGGACUAC